rnacentral:sRNA from 1 species
UCAUUGCACUACAUGGAGAGCUUUCCGAC